AAAGAAAUCAGCCACAUAUCUGAGAUCUGGUGGAAUCAAGUUUUGUCUUCUUUACCAUCCCCUUCUGUCUUGAAGACAGAAGUUCUGCUUAGUUAUUGGAAGUACUCAAGUACCUUGGAAAAUCCUAUGAAUUAGGCACACAGAAGGACCACAUUUCCGAGACACUAGAUUGGAACCUUGUGACUGUAUUCCGACGUAUGGGAAUAUGAGCUGACACAACAUAUCGCUUCUGCUGAUGACACAUGAGAGCCAAUAGGCCUCUGGCCGUUUCUCUUUCUCUUCCUUGAUUAUCUGGGAUGCCGUGUCUUCAGAGGACAGUAUCAUCAGAUGGAGGACACCUGAAUCUUCAACUAGAGGAAGGACGUGACCACCUCCCAGCAGACUUUUCAUGAGCAAGAAAUAAACCUUGUUGUGCUAAGUCAGUGACUUUCCGGGAUUUGCCUGUUGGAUUAACUUGGGGUUAUUUGCCUAACAUUCUCAGAAACUUUCAUUUCCAGAAAACAACCUAUUACUGAGACAUUUAAAGUUCUUCAUGAUCUGCUCCUAAGAUGAGCCCUGAUUAGAUGCCAGGCCCCAAGUUUAACACUACGUAUCAUAACUGGUUCAACUUUAUAACAACCUAAUGAGAGAAACUGAAGUCCCCAGAGAUAAAACAAUGUACAUGAGUUCACAUGGCUAACAAAAUGAGUAAGACCAAUACCAAAACCCAUACCCAGUUUUUCUAUCUCUUUGGCAAGGUCUUUCCUAGAGAUGUGUCAAAGACAUGCUCUAUAGUCCAACGUGCCUGAGCUUGCUGUAUGUUAUACCUUUCUUUUGCUGUGCGUCUACUUAGAAAUAGGGCCUCAGUUGCCUUCAAAUAAUUUACCAAGGGAGGUCUUUCUGAUUACUACGCAGCCUCUUUAGUCACUCAUUAAAAACUGCAGAGCAUUAUGGGAAGGGAGGCAGGUAAGUGUACCUGCUCCAAGCUGAACGUGGCAUUUUGUGCCAUAGGAGUUUCUGGGGCCAUAGCAAGUCCACCAGCAACAGAUCUUACUGCUCAGUUAGAGGACACUGUGAGCCAGUGCAUGUGAAAGAGCUUCGAGAAGACGUGCAGCCCUCUGCAAAUGUGAAGUAAGCCUAUCUAUUUACUUUCUCCCUAAGUCUGUAUGCAGAGACAUCACCUGACCACCAAGGCAGCAAACAGUAGAGCCCUUCCAUCCUGACUUUCAAACUCAUCUCAUAAUGUUUCUAUUAAUAUCUGGCAAAAAUCCACCGAGAGCUGCAAAAAUCCCAGGGAGCUUGUGUGAGCCCUUCUGAAGAAUGAGCGUUGGCAAACGUCAGAAACAAAGCAGAAGCCAAAGCUUAUUUAUAGUUCUGGGCAGACCUAGCUCCUAGGGCAGAGCAGGCUUUGUGUUCAAAGACUCAUCUCAGGUUAAAACAUCCUAUUUUAUUUAAACAGAAAGUCCUUGCUGGCAGCUACACAACUUUGACCAGAUAUAGGAUUUUCUCUGUGUCACUUGGCAUAAAGACAUGCAAAAGUUUCCUAAUAUGAUAUUCUUGUAACUUGGAAAAAUUAGUAACUCCCACCAUGCAACCCUUGUAGGAUCAUGUGCUAAUGAAGAAGAUGCUCUAAUAAUUAGGCCUAGAGCCCACUGAAUGUAACACCUUCCAAUUAGCACUCCCCAGCAUGAAUACUGCCAUUAUCAUUAAACAACAAAGACAAAAAUGGGUAUCAAUCCACAUAAUAGAAAAUAAUUGAUGAAGUUGGAGGGCGUGAUUAUUUGUGAUUACUUUACAGUCAUGCACAGAAAGUAGGAGAACCACAGCUAGUGGUUAAUCUCUGGCUACCUCUUUGAAGAUAAUGAAAUUGGCUUCCUACUGAUGAUUAUUCAUUAACAAUUAAUUCUUUCUCAGUGAUCUGCCUCAUUUUCAGCUUCUCACUACAAACAUGCAAUGGAAUAAUUACAAGUGGAAAUGAAAAAGCAAUUAGUGGCAGAUAAUGCCAACAUCUGAUUAAAAAACAGUAGAACAGAUUAGCAGUUUCGUAACUGCAAGUCUGCUGCCUUCAGCAGGGAGGUGUAAGUCACCCAGUUAUACUGCAGUUCAAGCUGUGCUUUCUCUUUUAUUGCCUCCCUUCCAUCAUGGUCUGCCACAUUAAAUGCUCUCUUUUAUUCUAGGGGGCAUUGGCUGUUGUAAAUACUUUCCACAGAUUAAGUAGCGUUUGAGAUGAUUUGUGGUCCUAGAGGCUGAAAUUCGAAAAGGCACGGUCUCAUCAUAUGAUGGCUAAACCCCGUAUCUAUAUACGCCUUUCUUUGGGGACCACAGAAAAUAUCACCAUACAUUGCUUUGCUUUUGUUUCAACUCAACCUUUGUUAAGUAUCCACAGAACAAGUCUCACUAAAUCAAAAACAAACAUCUUCUUUAAGAAGGUUGGCUCUUUUGUUACCUGCAUCCAUGGCUGCUUGGGUCUUGUAGGUUGGAUUCUUGCCUUGCAUAAUGGGAGACAUAAAUUGGCGGUUAGUAGAGUUUUACUUAAUGUUUAAUAAGGGUUGACGUAGUGCUGGCUGCCAUAUAAAUAAUCCUUCAAUAAAAGGCUUAUAAUUUCACUCUUCUCAGCAAU